rnacentral:rRNA from 1 species
GUAUCCUGGCUCAGGAUGAACGCUAGCUACAGGCUUAACACAUGCAAGUCGAGGGGCAGCAUCAUCAAAGCUUGCUUUGAUGGAUGGCGACCGGCGCACGGGUGAGUAACACGUAUCCAACCUGCCGACAACACUGGGAUAGCCUUUCGAAAGAAAGAUUAAUACCGGAUGGUAUAGUUUUCCCGCAUGGGAUAAUUAUUAAAGAAUUUCGGUUGUCGAUGGGGAUGCGUUCCAUUAGG